GACAGAGGUGCCAAGCGUUAGGCGGAAUUACUGGGCUUAAAGCGUGUGUAGGUGGAUUUGUAAGUACCUUGUGAAAUCCCAUGGCUCAACCAUGGAACUGCUCGGUAUACUGCGAAUCUUGAGCCACUUAGGGGCUACCGGAACAAAUGGUGGAGCGGUGAAAUGCGUAGAUAUCAUUUGGAACGCCAAUGGUGAAAACAGGUAGCUGGGAGUGUGCUGACACUGAGACACGAAAGCCAGGGGAGCGAACGGG
rnacentral:rRNA from 1 species